rnacentral:rRNA from 1 species
GACGAACGCUGGCGGCGUGCUUAACACAUGCAAGUCGAACGGAAAGGCCCUGCUUGCAGGGUACUCGAGUGGCGAACGGGUGAGUAACACGUGGGUGAUCUGCCCUGCACUUCGGGAUAAGCUUGGGAAACUGGGUCUAAUACCGGAUAGGACCGCACUUUAGUGUGUGUGGUGGAAAGUUUUUUCGGUGUAGGAUGAGCUCGCGGCCUAUCAGCUUGUUGGUGGGGUAAUGGCCUACCAAGGCGGCGACGGGUAGCCGGCCUGAGAGGGUGUACGGCCACCCUGGCACUUACGUACGGCCCCGACUCCUACUGGUGGCAGCAGUGGGGAAUAUUGCACAAUGGGCGCCAGCCUGAUGCAGCAAUGCCGCGUGUGGGAUGAAGGCCUUCGUGUUGUAAACUCCUUUCGCUAGGGACGAAGCUUUUUUUGACGGUACCUAGAUAAGAAGCACCGGCUAACUACGUG